rnacentral:piRNA from 1 species
UAUUAGAGGCAAUGCCUGCCCAGUG